rnacentral:rRNA from 1 species
GAUGAACGCUGGCGGCGUGCCUAAUACAUGCAAGUCGAGCGAACAGAUGAGGAGCUUGCUCCUCUGACGUUAGCGGCGGGCGGGUGAGUAACACGUGGAUAACCUACCUAUAAGACUGGGAUAACUUCGGGAAACCGGAGCUAAUACCGGAUAAUAUAUUGAACCGCAUGGUUCAAUAGUGAAAGACGGUUUUGCUGUCACUUAUAGAUGGAUCCGCGCCGCAUUAGCUAGUUGGUAAGGUAACGGCUUACCAAGGCAACGAUGCGUAGCCGACCUGAGAGGGUGAUCGGCCACACUGGAACUGAGACACGGUCCAGACUCCUACGGGAGGCAGCAGUAGGGAAUCUUCCGCAAUGGGCGAAAGCCUGACGGAGCAACGCCGCGUGAGUGAUGAAGGCCUUCGGAUCGUAAAACUCUGUUAUUAGGGAAGAACAAAUGUGUAAGUAACUAUGCACGUCUUGACGGUACCUAAUCAGAAAGCCACGGCUAACUACGUG